GAUGAACGCUGGCGGCGUGCCUAAUACAUGCAAGUCGAGCGAACAGACGAGGAGCUUGCUCCUCUGACGUUAGCGGCGGACGGGUGAGUAACACGUGGAUAACCUACCUAUAAGACUGGGAUAACUUCGGGAAACCGUAGCUAAUACCGGAUAAUAUAUUGAACCGCAUGGUUCACUAGUGAAAGACGGUUUUGCUGUCACUUAUAGAUGGAUCCGCGCCGCAUUAGCUAGUUGGUAAGGUAACGGCUUACCAAGGCAACGAUGCGUAGCCGACCUGAGAGGGUGAUCGGCCACACUGGAACUGAGACACGGUCCAGACUCCUACGGGAGGCAGCAGUAGGGAAUCUUCCGCAAUGGGCGAAAGCCUGACGGAGCAACGCCGCGUGAGUGAUGAAGGUCUUCGGAUCGUAAAACUCUGUUAUUAGGGAAGAACAAAUGUGUAAGUAACUAUGCACGUCUUGACGGUACCUAAUCAGAAAGCCACGGCUAACUACGUG
rnacentral:rRNA from 1 species